GACCGCGUAGCUCAGUAAGUUGGCAGAGCAGUGGGCUAGUAUUCCAAAGGUUGUGGGUUCGAUUCCCACCGUGGCCA
rnacentral:tRNA from 1 species